GGGCAGAAAGGAGCUGGUACCCAGAGGAGAAAGAAGCCCGGGAAUAUAAGGACUUCGGUUCACGUCAGCUCCUGAUCACGCAGAAGGAGGUGAAUCCUGGGAGCCAAGGGCAGAGAGAGGCAAGUCCCCAGAGAAGUGGGAAUGGCCAACAGCUCCCUGAGAAGAUGCCUUCCGUCCUUCCUGGGCAGGUAAGGGAAGUCUCAAGAAUACACAAGAGAAGGGAGAGUGGCAGAGCCCAGGCUGGGGAUGUUAAAAGGGACUCACGGUGAGGAUGGGGGCGGGCCCGAAAGUCCCACCUGACUCCAGGCUGCAGGAGGGGGCGUGGGACGGGGGCGGAGCCGCUGGCGAUGACAACAGCCCCACGUGAUCGGCCAACACUGAGUCUUGCCUCGCUCUGGCAUCAGAGCCGCCGUCGCUCGCUCCUUUCUCGGCUGUGGUACCUGUUCCCGGUGGCCCUGAGGACGUGCGGGCCAGGUGCGGCCCCGAAAGCAGGAAGCGGAGGGGGAGCAGGUCUGCGAGGCUAAGUGUCGAGGCGACGCACCUCACGUCGAGAAUCGGGAGGAGGAGGAGACUGCAAGGAUAGGCCCAGGAGUAAUGGAGUCCAAAGAGGAACGAGCGUUAAACAGUCUCAACGUGGAAAAUGUCAACCAGGAAAAUGAUGAAAAAGAUGAAAAGGAGCAAGUUGCUAAUAAAGGGGAGCCCUUGGCCCUCCCUUUGAAUGUUGGUGAAUACUGUGUGCCUAGAGGAAAUCGUAGACGGUUCGGUGUUAGGCAGCCCACCCUGCAGUAUAGAUGGGACAUAAUGCAUAGGCUUGGAGAGCCACAGGCAAGGGUGAGAGAGGAGAAUAUGGAAAGGAUUGGGGAGGAGGUGAGACAGCUGAUGGAAAAGCUGAGGGAAAAACAGUUGAGUCAUAGUCUGCGGGCAGUCAGCACUGACCCCCCUCACCAUGACCAUCACGAUGAGUUUUGCCUUAUGCCCUGAAUCCUGAUGGUUUCCCUGAAGUUAAUAGGGAGACCCCAGCUUCCUAAACUUACACAUUUGUGGUGUACCUUUGUCGUAAACCUUUUGAUGUUACCUAUUUCUUGUGGGUCUCCUAUUACCAGCUUCAAACUGAAUGUUGUUUUGACCCAGUUUGUAAGUUUCUGUCAGCAGGGGAGUUUUACCUACUGCAUGGAAAGAUGCUCAUUAUAUAUUGUGAAGUUAAUAAAACAGUUUUAAAAACCA